UGGGGAAUAUUGGACAAUGGGCGAAAGCCUGAUCCAGCAAUGCCGCGUGAGUGAUGAAGGCCUUCGGGUUGUAAAGCUCUGUCGGGAGGGACGAAUAGGGUGGUGUAAUGGCCACUUCUGACGGUACCUCCAAAGGAAGCACCGGCUAACUCUGUGCCAGCAGCCGCGGUAAUACAGAGGGUGCAAGCGUUGUUCGGAAUUACUGGGCGUAAAGCGCGUGUAGGCGGCGUCGUGAGUCAUAUGUGAAAGCCCUCGGCUCAACCGAGGAAGUGCAUGUGAUACUGCGAUGCUUGAGUGUUGGAGGGGUGGCGGAAUUCCCGGUGUAGAGGUGAAAUUCGUAGAUAUCGGGAGGAACACCUGUGGCGAAGGCGGCCACCUGGACAACAACUGACGCUGAGACGCGAAAGCGUGGGUAGCAAACAGGAUUAGAUACCCAAGUAGUCCCUGAGCGGGC
rnacentral:rRNA from 1 species